rnacentral:rRNA from 1 species
UGGGGAAUUUUGGACAAUGGGCGAAAGCCUGAUCCAGCAAUGCCGCGUGUGCGAAGAAGGCCUUCGGGUUGUAAAGCACUUUUGUCCGGAAAGAAAUCCUUGGCUCUAAUACAGUCGGGGGAUGACGGUACCGGAAGAAUAAGCACCGGCUAACUACGUGCCAGCAGCCGCGGUAAUACGUAGGGUGCAAGCGUUAAUCGGAAUUACUGGGCGUAAAGCGUGCGCAGGCGGUUUGCUAAGACCGAUGUGAAAUCCCCGGGCUCAACCUGGGAACUGCAUUGGUGACUGGCAGGCUAGAGUAUGGCAGAGGGGGGUAGAAUUCCACGUGUAGCAGUGAAAUGCGUAGAGAUGUGGAGGAAUACCGAUGGCGAAGGCAGCCCCCUGGGCCAAUACUGACGCUCAUGCACGAAAGCGUGGGGAGCAAACAGGAUUAGAUACCCUGGUAGUCCACGCCCUAAACGAUGUCAACUAGUUGUUGGGGAUUCAUUUCCUUAGUAACGUAGCUAACGCGUGAAGUUGACCGCCUGGGGAGUACGGUCGCAAGAUUAAAACUCAAAUGAAUUGACGGGGUCAUAGCUGUUUCCU